GGAGCCUACGGGAGGCAGCAGUGGGGAAUAUUGCACAAUGGAGGAAACCCUGAUGCAGCAACGCCGCGUGAGUGAUGACGGCCUUCGGGUUGUAAAGCUCUGUCUUCAGGGACGAUAAUGACGGUACCUGAGGAGGAAGCCACGGCUAACUACGUGCCAGCAGCCGCGGUAAUACGUAGGGGGCAAGCGUUAUCCGGAUUCAUUGGGCGUAAAGCGCGCGCAGGCGGGCC
rnacentral:rRNA from 1 species